CACGAGUUGAGAAGAACUAGCAAGAGUGGUACAAAACUGCAGGUCAUUGGGCUGGCCACCAGGUAUUCCCACCCACCAGAAGCUGGCUGUUGUACUCACCCGGAACCAUGGUGCACCACCACAGCGGCGAGGUCAUACAGGCAGCUCUCCGGGCCACUGUUCUCAGGCUACAGAACAAGGAAGAAGGAGCAGUGGUCAAUGACAUCAGUAUCUCGAUGACCUCUACCCUCUCCAUGUGAUGACAAUCUUACUGAAGAGCCAUUUUUUCACCAUGCUAAAAAGGGAAGAGGAGCACAGCAGUAACGCUGAUGGGAAGAAGGUGCUGACAGAUGGACUCACUGGGGUCACGGCAACAAUCGACAGUACAGGUGGCAAACAUUGUGUAAAAUACUCCAAAUCCAAGACACACAUUUAUAAAAGUCUGUAACAGGUAACAUUACAUGUUAGAGUUGUAACAAAACAGUGAUUAAAUCUCAACUAACUCUUAUAUUUGAAUAAAUUUUAAUUACUUACAUUUACUUUUAAUAACUUGCUGUUUAGUGUUGAGUUUUCCAAAAGUUUUCUUUUCUUAUGCCUGUCAGCUGUGAAAGCUGAGCUAUUAAAACACAAACAGAUAGUGA
ensembl:lncRNA USP3-AS1 USP3 antisense RNA 1